rnacentral:ncRNA from 1 species
GCCAGCUCAGCGAGGACAGAAACCUCGCGUAGAGCAAAAUGGCAAAAGCUGGCUUGAUCUCGAUGUUCAGUAUGCAUAGAGACUGCGAAAGCA